rfam:Schistosoma haematobium scaffold172_15, whole genome shotgun sequence.
AUCUAGCUGAAGCGCCCCAAAUAGAAUGAAACACGCGUUCUGGAU